GACGAACGCUGGCGGCGUGCUUAACACAUGCAAGUCGAACGGAAAGGCCCUGCUUUUGUGGGGUGCUCGAGUGGCGAACGGGUGAGUAACACGUAAGUAACCUGCCCUUGACUUUGGGAUCACUUCAGGAAACUGGAUCUAAUACCGGAUAGGAGCUCCUGCUGCAUGGUGGGGGUUGGAAAGUUUCGGCGGUUGGGGAUGGACUCGCGGCUUAUCAGCGUGUGGGUGGGGUAGUGGCUUACCAAGGCUUUGACGGGUAGCCGGCCUGAGAGGGUGACCGGCCACAUUGGGACUGAGAUACGGAGCAGACUCCUACGGGAGGCAGCAGGGGGGAAUAUGGUACAAUGGGCGGAAGCCUAAUGAAGCAACGCCGCGUGUGGGAUGUCGGCCUUCGGGUUGUAAAACGCUUUCGCCUGUGACGAAGCGUGAGUGACGGUAAUGGGUAAAGAAGCACCGGCUAACUACGUG
rnacentral:rRNA from 1 species